rnacentral:snRNA from 1 species
GUGCCCUAUAGUGAAAACCUCCCCCCCCCAAAAAAAAGUACAUAAAAUAAUAUUUGAAUGAUUCAGAGAAGAUUAGCAUGGGUCUGGUGCAAACUUAAUAUGCAAAUUCCUAAAGCAUUCCAUACUUUU